rnacentral:lncRNA from 14 species
CAAAAAGAACAAAGCUGGGUAUUUGAGGGGAGAGGAAAAUUAUGCAGAUAUGAAAUCUGUGAGAUGCAGAAAAGGAUGCAACUCAUGAAGGAGUGUUGGCUGCAAAGAUACAAAAGGACCUGAUGGCAACAGAGCAGAAGGAAAACUAGGAUGAGUCAAAGCAGUCUGGGGAGAGACUUGAACAUGAGUCAACGAUGCCUUGCUAGAGCAAAGAACAUCACUGCACACCAAUAAAGGUGUAAACCACCUGGAAGAAAUCCAGAGGAGAGUGAGAACAAGAAAG